AAAAAAAAAAAAAAAAAGAAAGAAAGAAAGGGGAUUCUGAAGUUUAGGAUUGAGAUUGGGUUUUGAAAUAUACGUUUGCUAUAAAACAAAGGAGUAGGUUAGCUGAUAUCUGAGAUUAUAAUUUUGAAAAUACAUGUGAUAACAGCAUGAAGUUUUGUCGUUGGUGACAAUGAGUGAACCUGUAUUUGGGAAGUAGGAGUAAUAGUUGGAGAUGUGGCUGUUGUGCCAGAAAUGCUACAGUGAUGAAGUCUAUGAUAAGGAGGCUGCUGACAUCUAGCGAAGAGGCAUGGCUUGAGAUUUUGGAAUAUGCUGUUUGACUUUAGAAGUGUGAGUAUUCUCCUUCCAAAGAGACUUCUGUGGAUAUUCUGUAGAGCACAGUAUCUCCAAUUCUAUUGUGGAAUCACCUGGGGAUUCUGUUUAAAUGAAGAUUCGAAUUUAGUAAGUCUGAGAUAGGAUCUGAGGUUCUAUAUUUCUAGCAAGUUCCAGGUUAUGUCAGUGUUGUUGGUCUACAGACCCCAUUUUGGGUAGUGAGGCUCUAAUGGUUAGUAAAAACGGGUAACCACAGAUUCGGCCCUGUUUACCUUAAGAAUCUUUCUUUUCUUAUGAUGGAUUUUAUAAUUCCACAUGAUGAUUUACACUAAAGCAGAAAUAGGAACAUCUGGCAGUUUGAAUCUUGCUGUGUUUUGAUCACCAGAUGAAUUCCAUACUUUAAAAAUAGUUCAUUGUGUACCGUUUUGUCUUCUUCCCUUCCAUGUUGGGAAAAAUAAAAAGCAUCCCCUUGAUAUUCAACUUCGCUAGAAAGUUGAUCACAUACUUCCUUUAGGAGGAUCCACAGUGAGUCUCAAAAUACUUACUUCUUUUGUGCUUCUGUUUCUGACAUCUUUUGCCCACCCAUAAGCUAGAAGGAGUCUGAUUACACAGGAUUUCAGAAAAAAAAAAAAAAUGCACUGUUUAAUUCAGAAACCUAAAAUCCCUUAGUUUACUGGUUUUCUGACUCAGUUUAUUUUCCCCCACUUGCCUGAGAGCUGUGUCUACAUGUCACCUGUGUCUGUUUUCCUGGGACUCUGCAAGUUGGCUAUGCCUACUCACCUGCUUUGUUACUGAUAUGUUAUAAACUUGAAACCUGGGAACUGGUAUUACAAGCACUGUGGAGGAUAAAAUGCUUUUCUGCUGUCCAGGGAGGCAUAGACAAUAAUGUUUAGAAAAAUAAAGCUAUAAAGAAAGAAAGAUUUAGAUCAAACACGUAAUGAAAGAAAUGGGAAGAGACUGAUUUUGUGAAAGUUUGAAAGAAAAAUAAUCAAAGAAAAGUAGAGGCAUAUCGAAACAGAAAAUUUGAUAUUUCUGUCUACCCUAGAUUGCCAGUGAUUUUUCAGGUUACAGUAAUAGCUUAAUUUUUAGAUAACUGCAAAUGUUCAACUAAGCCUGCCUUGCUCUCUUUUUGACUUCUUUUCAGAUAAAAAGACAGAAACAGAGAGAGGUAACAGACAUUUAAGUGUAGUUAUUAAGAAAGUAAAAACAGGAUGGCAAUAAUACUAUAAUUAGAACCAGAAAUUAACAAAUUUCUCACUAACUUACACACAUACACACAUACAUGUGUGUGCAGUGCCUUUAACAUCACAUAAUAUUACAGAAAUGUUAGGUAUUAUGCCAAACCAAAUACUUUGCCCAUUGGGCUUCCUGUGGAAGCUAAAGAGAUAGCCAAAACCAAACAACCAACCAAAGAAAGAAAAAGAUAUUGUUCUUCCAAGGAUUCCAAGGAGUCUAUGCUCCUUGACCUAUAAACAUCUGAGAGUGGUAGACCCUUAUGUAGCUACAGGCCAGUGACUUCUGACUUGGUGCCUCUUGGAAACAACUGGCACAAUAUAGUCUGUUAGUGGCUGAGAUCAUGAAACAUAAAGGACAAAAUCAUGAAAUGUAUUAGACCAAUGGGUUAAUUGGUGAAAUAAUAUUUAUUCUCUAUACUGGAAAAUAGAUGAAUGGAAUGGUGAAGUUGCCUUAUUAAUAAAUCAAGUAUAAAGAAUAUUCUUUUUGUUAUACUAGGCAUUUGUAGCAGUUGUAUUUUCUAGAGGAUAAUAAUAAAUAAGAGUAGUUCUUAUUCUACUUUUUGUAAAAAUACUAAAUUCCAUUUAAAUUUCUCAUGGACCCAUCAAUCUGACUUAACCAUUAUCACCUCACAAUUUACCUUUUUAAAAAUUUAUAUCCAACCAGUCUAGGCUUCUAAUUCUACUAUUGACUUUUUUGAAUCAGCUAUUCACCUCAUUUUAUUUAAAAAAUAAUUUAAAGAUAUAUCUGUGAAAGAGUUUAUGUUUAAUAUACCUACAAUGUUAUUCAAAGACCAGGGGUUUAGUCUAGAUCCUGCUGUCUGUUGCACAGAAAGCUAAUCACUAAAAUAACAAGAAUUGACCAGGAAGAAGGCUUUACUCAGUUGCUGCAGCUGACAAGAAUGGGAGAUCAGUCUCAAAUUUGUCUUCCCAAUCAACUAAAAUUGGGGGUUUAUAUAGUGGGAAGAAAUAUGGGUCUAUGCAAAAAAACAGGAAUUAGGGAAAGGUAAGGUAGAAGAGUUGGUCAACAGGAAAUAGGUUAUCUGUUAAGAAAAGAAAAAAAAAAACAGGAAUUAGCAGAGGG